rnacentral:rRNA from 1 species
UACGUAGGGUCCGAGCGUUGUCCGGAAUUACUGGGCGUAAAGAGCUCGUAGGUGGUUUGUCGCGUUGUCCGUGAAAACUCACAGCUCAACUGUGGGCGUGCGGGCGAUACGGGCAGACUGGAGUACUGCAGGGGAGACUGGAAUUCCUGGUGUAGCGGUGGAAUGCGCAGAUAUCGGGAAGAACACCCGUGGCGAAGGCGGCUCUCUGGAACGCAACUGACGCUGAGACGCGAAAGCGUGGGGAGCAAACAGG